ensembl:lncRNA
GAGGAGGGGUGGAGGACAUCUCAGUGAUGUUAGGGAGAGGAGUGGUGGAGGACAUCUCAGUGAUGUUAAGGAGAGGAGGGGUGGAGGACAUCUCAGUGAUGUUAGGGAGAGGAGUGGUGGAGGACAUCUCAGUGAUGUUAAGGAGAGGAGGGGUGGAGGACAUCUCAGUGAUGUUAGGGAGAGGAGUGGUGGAGGACAUCUCAGUGAUGUUAAGGAAAGGAGGGGUGGAGGACAUCUCAGUGAUGUUAAGGAAAUGAGGAGGGGAGGA